GCCAGCAUGGCAUAGUGGUUUCAGCAUUGGACUAUGACUCUGAAGACCAGGGUUCAAAUCUCUAUUUGGCC